rnacentral:rRNA from 1 species
CUGUGAACUGCGAAUGGCUCAUUAAAUCAGUUAUCGUUUAUUUGAUAGUACCUUACUACAUGGAUACCUGUGGUAAUUCUAGAGCUAAUACAUGCUAAAAACCCCGACUUCGGGAGGGGUGUAUUUAUUAGAUAAAAAACCAAUGCCCUUCGGGGCUCCUUGGUGAAUCAUAAUAACUUAACGAAUCGCAUGGCCUUGCGCCGGCGAUGGUUCAUUCAAAUUUCUGCCCUAUCAACUUUCGAUGGUAGGAUAGUGGCCUACCAUGGUGGCAACGGGUAACGGGGAAUUAGGGUUCGAUUCCGGAGAGGGAGCCUGAGAAACGGCUACCACAUCCAAGGAAGGCAGCAGGCGCGCAAAUUACCCAAUCCCGACACGGGGAGGUAGUGACAAUAAAUACUGAUACGGGGCUCUUUUGGGUCUCGUAAUUGGAAUGAGUACAAUUUAAAUCCCUUAACGAGGAACAAUUGGAGGGCAAGUCUGGUGCCAGCAGCCGCGGUAAUUCCAGCUCCAAUAGCGUAUAUUAAAGUUGUUGCAGUUAAAAAGCUCGUAGUUGAACCUUGGGUCUGGCUGGCCGGUCCGCCUCACCGCGAGUACUGGUCCGGCUGGACCUUUCCUUCUGGGGAACCUCAUGGCCUUCACUGGCUGUGGGGGGAACCAGGACUUUUACUGUGAAAAAAUUAGAGUGUUCAAAGCAGGCCUUUGCUCGAAUACAUUAGCAUGGAAUAAUAGAAUAGGACGUGCGGUUCUAUUUUGUUGGUUUCUAGGACCGCCGUAAUGAUUAAUAGGGAUAGUCGGGGGCGUCAGUAUUCAGCUGUCAGAGGUGAAAUUCUUGGAUUUGCUGAAGACUAACUACUGCGAAAGCAUUCGCCAAGGAUGUUUUCAUUAAUCAGGGAACGAAAGUUAGGGGAUCGAAGACGAUCAGAUACCGUCGUAGUCUUAACCAUAAACUAUGCCGACUAGGGAUCGGGCGGUGUUUCUAUGAUGACCCGCUCGGCACCUUACGAGAAAU